rnacentral:rRNA from 1 species
CCUACGGGGAGCAGCAGUGGGGAAUAUUGCACAAUGGGGGAAACCCUGAUGCAGCGACGCCGCGUGAGUGAAGAAGUAAUUCGUUAUGUAAAGCUCUAUCAGCAGGGAAGAAAAUGACGGUCCCUGAGUAAGAAGCCACGGCUAACUACGUGCCAGCAGCCGCGGAAAUACGUAGGGGGCAAGCGUUAUCCGGAUUUACUGGGUGUAAAGGGAGCGUAAGAGGCAGUGCAAGUAUGGAGUGAAAGGCGGGGGCUCAACCCCCGUAUUGCUCUGGAAACGGUACGGCUGGAGUGCAGGAGAGGUAAGUGGAAUUACUAGUGUAGCGGUGAAAUGCGUAGAUAUUAGGAGGAACACCAGUGGCGAAGGCGGCUUACUGGACUGUAACUGACGUUGAGGCUCGAAAGCGUGGGGAGCAAACAGGAUUAGAGACCCCUGUAGUC